GUGAUUUUGUUUUGUACUUUGAUGAGCUAAUAAUCAGCUCUCUUUUUUCAUUUUUGUUCUAAGCAGGCCUGGAAGAGAGUGAACUGACGGCGCUGACAAAAUUACCAAGUACGAAAAUCAGGUGGGCAGUACGGAUUAUAAUUGAUUACAAUCAGAGACUGAUCGGCGGCAAGUCUCUGUCUAAAAAUGGAUUGAUCGAUUCAAUCCAGUCAAAAGUAUAGAGAACUAUUUUCCUAAAAAGGAAAACGAAAUAAAACAAAUGAUUGAACUGAUUUUGCUGAUGUGGAGCAUCUGAUGACGUGCGCGGAAGGCUGCAGAUCAGCAAAAAAAAAAAAAUAUCAUGUGUGAAUGCAUGGGAGUGAAUGCGAGUGGUUGGACCAAGGGGGGAAAUAAAUAAAAGGUUGACAAACAGGAGAAGUGGAAGACUUAAAUCUGGGGAUGCUGAUGUUCUUUUGAGUGAAUGUCUGCUUUGUUGAUUUGGGUUAGACCAUAUUAAUACAUUAUAAAAUGCUAAAAGGGAAACAUUGAUGUAACUUAAGUUACCAUUAACUGAGGUAACACAUGAUUAAUAACUGUUCUGUUUAAGUUUAUUUUGUGUCAUGACACAGAUUGGAUCAUAUAGGGGGAGAGUUGAGUAAAGGUUUUGUUUUCAGGAAAUUCCAAGGAUCCAGAGUUCAAUGGAGCAGCGAGUUGGAGAAGAUUUGACAUGAUGAUUAAAUUGAUUUUGUUCCUUAAACACAGGUUUUCAGGGCUGGAGCAAAACACCGGAGAGGAGAAUUGCUGAGCUGUUCUGAGAAAUGAAAUGACUAACCUUUUUUCCUUUUGAUUUGUUAAGCUUGGGUGGAGCAUGUUGAGUUUUUUGCCACAUGAGAUGUGUCAAAAAAAAGAGAGGGAUUUAAGAUUUAAUUUGUUUAAUUUGAAAGGGGUUUUACUAGGAUUUUAUAAUGAUUGGGGUUGUUUGAUAAUCUAGAAAUAGUAAAACUGAGGACUUGUUAAAAGAAAGGAUUAAAAUGAACUGAAUUAGGUUUAGAAGAUAAAUUGCUGGUGUUAAUAAGAAGUUGUACACCAAAUUUAAAGGGG
ensembl:lncRNA